CUACAUGAAGCUGGAAUCGCUAGUAAUCGCGAAUCAGCAUGUCGCGGUGAAUACGUUCCCGGGUCUUGUACACACCGCCCGUCACACCAUGGGAGUCGGAAAUGCCCGAAGUCGGUGACCUAACCGAGAGGGAGGAGCCGCCGAAGGCAGGUUCGGUAACUGGGGUGAAGUCGUAACAAGGUAAC
rnacentral:rRNA from 1 species